rnacentral:lncRNA from 1 species
CUUAGCUAUGGUGUUUUAGCCAUUUUAGUAAAGCUUUAGAUUUUCUCUUAUUUCCACACUUGCAUCCCCCCUUUGUGGCGUGAGAUAACUUGACUUAGUUUGGUAUAGGUUUCUAGUCUUUCACUUCACAAGAAUCUCUCUGCUUCAAAUUGUGUAUAGCAAGUUAGAAUGGAGUAGAUUAAAAAAAAUAAAAAAUAAAUCCGGUUUUAGACUGAAACAGUGCACAGGGUCGUGGCGUCGGGCAGUACAAAGAUAGUGUAAAUAGCAAGUCACGUCGCCAGACAGAGCCCAUCGGGGCAGGUUACGGUGCGGGAGCUCGUUGGCACAGAAGAGGCGCGGUUGCUGGAGCUUGUUGAGGGUCGCGGCAGGAGAAUGAGCUGCGGCGGUGUGGAGUGCUAGUGGGGCACCGGGCUGCGGUUAUUUCUUUUUAUUGUGUUGGGUGUUGUACAAGGUGUGGUGCGGGACAAGGCACUGUCCGCACGGCGUCCAAUUUUUUUUGUGCGCUACAAUUGCGAUGCGACGCAGAAGGGCCUCUGGCGAGAUUAGAACUUGUUUCCGUUGCUUGGUGCCUCGCAAUAUUGACAUGGUUUCAUUUGCACGAGAUAUGUUGCUCGCUGUCGUCUGGAUUAUUGUGUGACGAUAGGAUACUGAACAAGGUGUAAGGUCAAUAACACCCGUAGUCAUAGGACCAUAACGAUGAUAGAGCCACGGUGAAAGGAUUCUACGGUAAAUACACCUUGCGCGGUUAUAGGCACAAUAUUUAAAUAAAAAAUAUAAAUAUAAAUAUAAAUAAACACAUCAUCCAGAAUUCUUAAGUGUUAAGUUUGGAAGCUCACUCCAAGGGCAUAUGGAGUCCAAAUUUGAUUAUUUUUGAGUCAAUUUUAUGUGGAAGAGGCCCAAGAAGUCUAUUGGCAUGUUUGGAGUGAGUUCAAUUUUUAGAGGUCAUUUGGAGCAUUGAAGUGGCAUUUACUAAAUAUUGAUUGCUUUCUAAAUGAGUUUUUGAUUUUCUCUCACUUCUCCACAUUUCUUUUUAUUGCAAUUAUCUUUUAUUAUCACA